rnacentral:lncRNA from 1 species
GCUUUACUGAGAUAAGCAAGUACUUACUAUAUGCAAUAUUACAGACAUUUUUAGAUAGUAGUAUUGAUUUUGUUGCUUGCCUUUAUUUAUGACUUAACAUAAGUCUGAUACUACUACUACUACUACUAUCACUGAUACUAUUGAAGUGAGUUGAGCAUCUCAGGUGCUUUUGUUGAUGUUGCUAGUAAUCUAUGUGACUGAGUAAGUUUCUUCUGUGUUUCGUACCCAGAUAAUGACCUAGGUUAUCACCACUUCAAAGACAUAGUAGGACACAAGGUCUUCUUUAUCACUGAUAGAUCCUACUUUGUAGACUGGAAAACAUAAGGGUUUUUCUUCUUAUAGGAACUGAGUUCUCCUCCAAAACUCUCUGCAAUUUCACAUCCAGUACAAGUCUUACAGGAAGAAAAAUACACAGCAAGUCUGAGCAGUUCUAAAACCCCAGUUCUAACUUUUUCAAAGGAAAACUUCAUGUGAAGGAUUGAACUGGCAAAAUUUUAAAUACUACAGCUAAUUCCUGACAAAGAAACUGUAUACAAUAGCAAUUACUGUUCCUUGAUAAUUAGGAGAACAGACAUUGCAGCAACAGAAGCAUGAAAUCUAGCUUUGCUCUGACUGAUUCCUUGUGUUCUGAGCUCAGCUGACUUUUCAAACAAAUACAAAGAAAAGUCCUGAGGGAUUGUCAACAUCACUUGUAGUUGUGUU